rnacentral:rRNA from 1 species
GAUGAACGCUAGCGGCAGGCUUAACACAUGCAAGUCGAGGGGUAGAGGAAGCUUCCUUCCUUGAGACCGGCGCACGGGUGCGUAACGCGGAUGCAACCUAGCUUUUACAGAGGGAUAGCUCAGAGAAAUAUGGAUUAAUACCUCAUAUUACAUAAUCUUCGCUUGUUGACUAUAUUAAGGUUCCAACGGUAAAAGAUUGGCAUGCGUCCUAUUUGCUAGAUGGUAAGGUAACGGCUUACCAUGGCAACGAUAGGUAGGGGUCCUGAGAGGGAGAUCCCCCACACUGGUACUGAGACACGGACCAGACUCCUACGGGAGGCAGCAGUGAGGAAUAUUGGACAAUGGGCGCAAGCCUGAUCCAGCCAUGCCGCGUGCAGGAAGAAGCAUCUAUGGUGUGUAAACUUCUUUUGUACGGGAAGAAACACUCCUUCGUGAAGGAGCUUGACGGUACCGUAAGAAUAAGGAUCGGCUAACUCCGUGCCAGCAGCCGCCGUAAGAC